GCCGAGCUCAGUAGCGCGGGCUUGUCACCCAAGUGGGGGCUAUGAGGUGAUGGGACGUUGUCCCAGCCCAGAUGGUUGGAUUCGGUCUGGCUAAUUUCUGGCUUGCCCAUUCCAAGCUGGGAGUUGAACCAUGGGACUCGAGCGAAGGUUUGGCUCUCCUGGGUUCCUAGAGCAGAGGGUACCGCGUUAGGCUGGCUUCACAGAGCAGCGACCACCUCUCGCUCCUGGCAGUGGAAGGAUUACAGGCCGGUUGUCAAACGAGUCCGCAUGGCCUGAUGGGUUGCUUAAUUGGACCAUCACUUUU
rnacentral:SRP_RNA from 1 species